GGGGUUGUGGCUCAGUGGUAGAGCCCUCACCUAGCAUGGACGAGGCCCUGGGUUCGAUCCCCAACACCACCU
rnacentral:tRNA from 1 species